rnacentral:rRNA from 1 species
GUGGGGAAUUUUGGACAAUGGGCGCAAGCCUGAUCCAGCAAUGCCGCGUGCAGGAAGAAGGCCUUCGGGUUGUAAACUGCUUUUGUACGGAACGAAACGGUCCUGGUUAAUACCCGGGGCUAAUGACGGUACCGUAAGAAUAAGCACCGGCUAACUACGUGCCAGCAGCCGCGGUAAUACGUAGGGUGCAAGCGUUAAUCGGAAUUACUGGGCGUAACGCGUGCGCAGGCGGUGCUGUAAGACAGGCGUGAAAUCCACGGGCUUAACCUGGGAAUUGCGCUUGUGACUGCAGUGCUGGAGUGCGGCAGAGGGGGAUGGAAUUCCGCGUGUAGCAGUGAAAUGCGUAGAUAUGCGGAGGAACACCGAUGGCGAAGGCAAUCCCCUGGGGCUACACUGACGCUCAUGCACGAGAGCGUGGGGAGCAAACAGGAUUAGAAACCCCAGUAGUCC